rnacentral:rRNA from 1 species
GUCGGCCGUACCAUGCUGAAUAUACCGGUUCUCGUUAGAUCACCGAAGUCAAGCAUCAUUGGGCGCGGUCAGUACUUGGGUGGGUGACCACCUGGGAACACCGCGUGCCGUU